AUCCAGCUGACGAGUCCCAAAUACGACAAAGUGCGCAUCCUGGAU
rfam:Trichobilharzia regenti genome assembly, scaffold: TRE_scaffold0010487